UGGGGAAUUUUGGACAAUGGGCGCAAGCCUGAUCCAGCCAUGCCGCGUGAGUGAAGAAGGCCUUCGGGUUGUAAAGCUCUUUCGGACGGGAAGAAAUGGCGGGCUCUAACAUAGCCUGUCGAUGACGGUGCCGUAAGAAGAAGCACCGGCUAACUACGUGCCAGCAGCCGCGGUAAUACGAAGGGUGCAAGCGUUACUCGGAAUUACUGGGCAUAAAGCGUGCGUAGGUGGUUGUUUAAGUCUGAUGUGAAAGCCCUGGGCUCAACCUGGGAAUGGCAUUGGAAACUGGGCAGCUAGAGUGCGGUAGAGGGUAGUGGAAUUCCCGGUGUAGCAGUGAAAUGCGUAGAGAUCGGGAGGAACAUCUGUGGCGAAGGCGACUGCCUGGACCAGCACUGACACUGAGGCACGAAAGCGUGGGGAGCAAACA
rnacentral:rRNA from 1 species